rnacentral:lncRNA from 10 species
UAGAGAUGGGGUUUCACCAUGUUGGCCAGGCUGGUCUCGAACUCCCAACCUCAGGUGAUCUACCUGCCUCGGCCUCCCAAAGUGCUGGGAUUACAGGUGUGAGCCACUGUGCCCGGUCAACAUCUUUAGAUAGUUACAGGAGACUCUUCUCCUCCAUAAAGGGGAGAGGACCCCGAGGCAGGGGAAGGAUGAGCUGGAAGUCACCCAGUAGGAAUGUGGCCCCAAAGCCUUGUGCACUGGGCUUCCUAGAGCCCAGAUAGGGGUGAUGAUGCCACGGGUGGGGGCAUGGGGCCCACAAUGGCAACAUCUCACCACUGGUUCUCCAGGAGCCCAGCUGCCUGGUAGCUCUCAGCUGUUGCAGAUGCAACCCAGCUUCCCAUUCGGGAGGCGCCCUCCAGCGCCACCUGCUGGAGCACCCACAGCACCAGCAGACGUGUCAGGCUUGCACCCGGUGCUGUGCGCUUGUCCCUUCCCAGGUGGGGGUGUCAGGUUGGGGAGGAGGACCCUGCCUAGGGCAGUAGGAAUUGGGCAUCUCCUUGAGCUUCCGGUCUGGGCUGUUUGGGAGCACUGAAGGAGGAGUGCCCUUAUCCCACCUUCUCCCCCACAACCAGUAUGGGGUCCUCAUUUGAGAGAAGGAUCCAGGUGCAGUCAGCCUGGGUGCACUAGCCCUUUGGGGCCAGGAACAGUUGUAGGUGCCAGGCCUGCCCCGUCUCUGCCGAGGAAGUAAAAAGAUCCCAGGGGCCGAGUGCAAGAGCUUAGGCCUGUAACCCCAGCACCUUGGGAGGCCAAGGCACAAGGAUCACUUGAGACUAGGAGUUCGAGACCAGCCUGGGCAACAUAGCAAGACCCCCAUCUCUACCAAAAAAAAAAAAAAAAAAGCAAAAGCCAGAUGUUAUGGCAUGCAUCCGUGUUCCCAGCUACUCGGGGGGCUAAGGUGAGAGGAUUGCCUAAGCCCAGAAGUUGGAGGCAGCAGUGAGCUAUGAUCAUACCACUGCAGUCCAGCCUGGGUGACAGAGGGAGACCCUGUCUCUAUAAAAAAAAACAAAACAAACAAAACCCUUAAAGCCUCCCUAAAGCCCUCAUUUUCACCUUCCUGUAAUAUUGAGUGGAAAAAGCCCGAUCCCCCCUUAAACCACCUCCCUCCCUCUCUGCCCUGCCCCUGACCGUUGCUGCAGGAGGAACACCCCACGGAGCUGACUGAUCUUAUUUUAAACUCAUGGGAACAAAUUUUGAGGGAGGUGCAGCUUCUCUGGCUGUGCUGCUCUGUCUUGUGUGCGAUCCGCUUUGAGACAACCAUUCACACCACCUCUCCUCUCAGCCUCCUACACCCCUGCCCACUUUCUCUCACCUCUUUGAGAAAAUAGAAGCAAAUUGGGUAGGAAGGCCCUUCCCAGCAACAAACCUAACAAACUGCUGGCAUCUAGACUGUCCUCCCUCCUCUUCCCACCCUGGGCUCCUCCCCUUGGGCUCUAGGAGAGAGGGCUGCAUUCCUUCACUGAUUGCCGUCCUCUCCUGUGCUGUCAAUUUUUUUUUCUUUUUUUUUUUUUUCUUGAGACUGAGUCUCGCUCUGUCACCCAGGUUGGAGUGCAGUGGCGUGAUCUCAGCUCACUGCAACCUCUGCCUCCUGGAUUCAAGUGAUUCUCCUGCCUCAGCCUCCCGAGUUGCUGGGACUACAGUCAUGCACCACCAUGCCCUGCUAAUUUUUGUAUUUUUGGUAGACAUGGGGUUUUGCCAUCUUGUCCAGACUGAUCAUGAACCCCUGACCUCAUGAUCUGCCUGCCUUGGCCCCCCAAAGGGCUGGGAUAACAGGUGUGAGCCACUGUACCCAGCUGAUAUGCCAUCAAUUUCUUCUCUCCUGCAUCAUCAUCAUCAGGAUAUAGACAUGUCUACUCUGUCCAUAUAAAACAACUCCCUUAACCCUAUGAGCCCCUCUAACUUCCACCUCUCCUUUUUCCAUCACAGCCAAAUUUUUCCAGAGUUCUCUGUGGUCUCACUUUCCAUUCCUCAUCUCUCAUUAUCUCUUCAAACCACUCCAGAUAGGGCCAAACGUGGUGGCUCACGCCUGUAAUCCCAGCACUUUGGGAGGCCGAGGUGGGUAGAUCACCUGAGGUCGGGAGUUCAAGACCAGCCUGGCCGACAUGGUGAAACCCUGUCUCUACUAAAAAUACAAAAGUGAGCCAGGUGUGGUGGUGGGUGCCUGUAAUCCCAGCUACUCGGCAGGCUGACGGAGGAGAAUCGCUUGAACCUGGGAGGCAGAGGUUGUAGUGAGCGAGAUUGCGCCAUUGUACUCCAGCCUGGGCAACAAAAGCAAAACUCCGACUCAAAAAAACACCCCAGUUUGCUUCUGUCUCUGCCCCUUACUUUAUGGAAACUGCUUUAUUCGGCAUCACCAGUAAUGUCCCGUUGCUAAAUCCAGUAGUUGAUCGGUCACUUGGCACAGUUGGCCAUUCCUCCCAUGCUGGGCUUUCCUGACAUCACCUGUUCUAGUUUUCUUUCUCGCUUCUCUCAGUAGGUUCCCUAAGGCCCACUUCUCAUGCUGACAUUCUUGUCCAAUCGCAUGACCUCAGAUGGUCUCUAUACCACUGACCUCAGAAUCCAUUACUCCAGCUCCGACCUCACCCAAGAGCUCUGGACUCAUUUCCAAUCCAUGCCUUGAUGUCUCCACGUGGACCUCAAUUGGUGAUCAGGCUUUGGCUCUUGCCAAUGAAAUGCAAGGGGAAAUGACAUCACAUGCCUGUUCUUCCCUUUUCCAUAUAAAUGGGUGACCAGCAAUGUUCCAAGUGGAAGCUGCUCCAACCACCUGGGUCCCAGGGAGAAAAUGGCAUGAGGUGCAGCCACAGCUGACCUGCAACAGACAUGUGGCAGGAGUGAGAAAUGUUUGCUGUAUUAAGCAACGGAGAUUUGGGGGGUUUUGUUACCACAGUAUAACCUAGCCUAUCCUGACUACUUUGUGUGCCUCACAGGAUUGUAAGAUCUCAUAGGUCAUAGGGGAAACUCCUCUAAAUUGUAUGCAAGGGGCCAGGUGCAGUGGCUCACGCCUGUUAUCCCAGCACUUUGGGAGGCCGAGGUGGGUGGAUCACCUGAGGUUGGGAGUUCAAGACCAGCCUGGCCAA